UGAGAGUUUGAUCCUGGCUCAGGACGAACGCUGGCGGCGUGCCUAAUACAUGCAAGUAGAACGCUGAAGAGAGGAGCUUGCUCUUCUUGGAUGAGUUGCGAACGGGUGAGUAACGCGUAGGUAACCUGCCUUGUAGCGGGGGAUAACUAUUGGAAACGAUAGCUAAUACCGCAUAACAAUGGAUGACACAUGUCAUUUAUUUGAAAGGGGCAAUUGCUCCACUACAAGAUGGACCUGCGUUGUAUUAGCUAGUAGGUGAGGUAAUGGCUCACCUAGGCGACGAUACAUAGCCGACCU
rnacentral:rRNA from 1 species